rnacentral:rRNA from 1 species
UACGUAGGGUGCGAGCGUUGUCCGGAAUUAUUGGGCGUAAAGAGCUCGUAGGCGGUGUGUCACGUCGGCCGUGAAAACCUGCAGCUUAACUGUGGGCGUGCGGUCGAUACGGGCAUCACUGGAGUUCGGCAGGGGAGACUGGAAUUCCUGGUGUAGCGGUGAAAUGCGUAGAUAUCAGGAGGAAUACCGGUGGCGAAAGCGACUCUCUGGACGGCAACUGACGCUGAGGCACGAACACGUGGGGAGCAAAAGGG